AAAAAAAAUAUCCCGUUGUAAUUAGCGGGACUUAAAUACGAAAUCACGUUGAAAUGUUAACUUCACUUGUGGUUUAGCACUUGUGAUUUCUGGUUCAUCAGAGAUAAAUUGUGUGGCGCAGUGGAAGAAAUCGAAUUUUUUCAUAUCAUUAAUUAUUAUUUCGUAGAUUCCAGAGUAUUAUUUGUUAGUCGGACAUUUCAAACGAAACCCUAUAGAGAAAUAGGAUAAAAUUGAAGUGAAUGCAGCUACUGUUACACGGGUAGCGAAAAUUGUGCACACGUUCAAAAAAGGAGCUGUUGCUCGCUCAAGUAAGCGGCAAAAUGCUGCCCAAAAUAGGAAAAUGUUUGCGCGCAUUCGACGUAAAGUAGUGAGGCUCGCUCUAGAAACGCGUAUUAAACCAGCUAGAGAAAUUACAAAGGAGCUAAAUUAUGCCCAUGUUAAAAUAUCGCAUAAAACAGUUGAACGCAUCUUAUUAGAAAAUAACCUUAAAUGCCGCCAUCCAGACAAGAAACCAAAAUUGACCAAGUGAAUGAAAAAUCAACGGGUAAUAUGAGCUAGGCUCCAUCAGAACUACACAUAGGUAGAUUGGAACAAGAUUAUCUUCAGCGACGAGUGCCGGCUAGAAGAAGUGACAGAAGCCAUUCAAUUUGUGCGCGUAGACCGUGUGAACGUUAUGCGGAGAAAUGCAGCUGCUAGCGAGCAGUACAUCAAUGUACUUCGACGUGUUUUUGUACCAUAUUUGGCAAAAUUGAGCCCUCCAGCAGCUCAAUACACAUUUAUGCACCAUGAGGCGCCAAUUUUAGCCAUUUUUUCGGUGAGGAAAGGCAGCCAAAUACAUUCAGGUGUUUGUAUUAAAAAAUGAUACGAAAGAAUUCAAAUUUCAUUAUUCGACGAAAGGGUGAAAUGAUUACAAUCAAAUGUGGUAUCUUAUUAAUUAAUAUUGAAGGUCAUAGGCUACUAUAUUUUACUUCGCAUUAAGAAAAAAGUCAUCCUUAAAUUAAAAAAAUGAGAUAUAAAAAUAAAAGCAAUUCAUUCGUGCUACAUAUCAUCGUAGUAGCCGCUGUACUCGGUAUAUACAAAUUACACGUGGUUUUCAACAUUCGUUCGAGACCUUCUUCUUAUCAACUUCUGUCGAAGUUACCCACAGUUCGUCCACUAUUGCAGAUCUGUCUUUGCUACAUCUACAACAACAUCUUCAUAUUCUCCAUUGCUCAGGUACUCGUAUAUAUAUAUUUUUUUGUGCCUUCAAAUGCCUACUAACAAUAAAGCCAAUGUGCCUAACAUGGCUGAUGAGGAACAAUAAACUUUGUCCUCGGAAAUUCAAACGCGUUCAACGAUUAUUAACUUCUUCGUUCAACCUACAUAGUAUGAAGCAACGAAUUACUUGUGAAGAAGUCGAUACUGAUUCGCAUGUUCUCGAAUGUUGAUUGCAAAUUGUUGAGUCCUAUUUUCAACAUAUUGGCGACGUCCCGCACAAUAUUAAAGCUCUUGCUCCGUUAGACAAAUAGAGAGCAAAAGUUGAAGAAACGUACAUUUCAACAAAAUCAGAAAUAUUUUCGUUAAUUAACUCUAGAAAAGGCCUUCACUUAAAUUUCCAAAAUUUGACGGCAAAUAUGUGGAAUAUAAACGCUUUUUCCGCACCUUUUGCACGAUGACCCAACAAUGGCAAAGGUGGACAAAUUUAAUUAUCUUUUAAACUGUGUUUCAAGACCAGCCCAUAGCGUAAUCGAACCCUUUCAGGUAACCGAAGAAAACUACCCGAAGGCUAUACAGCGGAUCAAAGAACGUCGUGAAAAGAUCUGACGCAGGAAGUCUACGUAAUAUCAUCGACACUGUUGCAGCGCUACGAGGUGCGAUACUCUCGUUGGGCUCAGAAAGCCACAUAAUGAAUUCAAUGUUAAUUCAUAUCGUCUUAAUUGAAAUUGAUUCUGAUUCAAAAUUGACAUACAAUACAAAGUAUUAGAAACUUGUCAAACGGGGAAAACUUAAUGGUAACACAGUGGGAUUGUAAGCUACUCGUUAUCAGCUAAGAUGCGUUUUUAUUGGGAGAAGCAAUAUGCUAUUGCUAUUGCAUCAAUUGCUUACGCAAAGAACACAGUAUCUAAAUGCCCAUUGAAAUGUCGUUGCCGUAUAUGUCUUCAAUCACACCACUUUCGUCUGCAUUUCGCCACCGUUGGAGCUACAAAUUACCCCAUUGUACAAAAGUUAGAACCUAAAGGAAAAGAACAAACACCUAUGCCGUAUACUUCGUCGAAUCCAUCGCAUCAUUCACCAACCAAUCCAUCAGUUUCACUCAUCGCAUGCACACGUAAAAGUGCGAUAAUACCAACAGCCUUAAUUUACAUACAGGAUAAAUUUGGAGUGAUGUAGCCAGCUCGUAAGUUAUUGGAUUCAUGUUCCGAAUUAAAUCACCAAGGAAACAGCGAAGCGGUUGCAGCUUAAAAUGUUUUUCUCACAUCAUGAAGUAUUAGGUAUUUCAGAUACUCAUUCUAAUUCAAAGUAUGCAGAAAAUGCGAAAAUCAAAUCUCGUAUUGCAGAUUAUACUUGUAUAUCGCAAUUUAUCAACACUUCUCAAUAGGAUAUUCCUGAAAACAUUCAGCUUGCGGAUCCCUACUUCUACAAACCGCAACGUAUAGAUUUAUUGCUUAAUGCAGAAAUAUUUUUUGAAAGACUUCAAAAAGGCACAAUCCCUCUUGAAAAAUCAAAUCAAGUUGGAUUGUUAGUGGUAAUUUUUAAACGCCACCCGCCCAUCCAUUCGGAAUGUUAUUUUGUACAAAAUUCAAAUAAAUCGAACAUCGCUUCGAUUCCUCAACGUUUUUGGGAAAUUGAAAAUUUUA